rnacentral:lncRNA from 1 species
GGUGCGAUCCUUCCGGGGAGCAAGCGAGGUGGCCCACGCGUCAUGCGGCGGUGGUAUCCCAGGUGCCACUGGUGCGACAUUGGGGUAGCUCAUUUACGCAAUAAACCCCUUUUAUGAACAAAACCCUAUUGGGUUGAAAAUCCAGUUUGCCAAAGGAAGGUGAAAAUCAGAUUUGAAAUAAGGAAGGCUUUGAAAAGGGAUUCAAAAAUUCAAAACAAAUUUUUUAAAAUGGCCAAAAUUGCAUAGAUGGCAUGAUGCUUAUGAAUGCAAAUGCAUGAUGAAAUGUUUUUAAAAUUUGGGAUGUUACAGUUAGUUGCCUCGUGGGCCCCGACCUGGCCGUUUCGCUCCUGGGUAUGCCUGGUUGAGCCUGGCUUAGGCCGGGCGGGCACUUUCUUUUUGUUAGUUAAAUCUUUGCUGGCAGCCCCGAGAAUAGGCCGCCGGCAAAGCUCGCGUUCACUUUUUUUUUAGUUUAAUCUUUUGGAUUUAACUUUUUUGUUUUUAAACUCUUUGCCGGAGGCAGGCUGCUGGCAAAGAAUUAUUUUCCCGCGUCCCCGUCCGAAAUUAACUGGCAACCCGAAGGAAAUCCAAGAAAAAAGGAAAUCCAAUGAAUAUGAAAGUACUCUUUGCCGGCGGCCCGGCAAAGGUUUCUUUGCCGGAGGCCCCGAGAAUAGGCGCCGGCAAAGCAUGUUUUUUUUUUCCUUUUCUUUGUUUGGUUGUGAUGUAAAGCAACCAUAUUGUAAACACAUAUAGCAAUAUAUAUUGUUGUUUAGAUUGAACCUAAUUUGUACUUAUAAAAUUUUGUUUCCCAAAUCAUAAAUUUGCAUGUCCGUGAGUUAAUUGGUUACGAUCGUUUCAUCAACGCAUGUAAUGGCGAAACAAAUGGUUUCCCAGCUUUCCCUUGUGCAUGGUGUGCCAUGUAUAUGUAAAUGAAGGGUGUGCUAAUGUUAAAAUCAAAUCCAUAGCCCUUAUGUGACACUUCCUUUGCAAACUAUACUACCGAAUGGGUAUGAAUGUUCCGCACUUGAGGGGAAAACUCUCAAUUCAGACCGACGGAACAUAAUUUAGACGGUCCAUGGGGUAGAUGUUUGCUUUUUUCAUGUCCCCGUGUGCUAAUAGAACCCUGAGGAAGAUUAAAGUGACAUGAAAACACUAAGGAAGAUUAAAGUGACAUUUUCCGCACGAACGUUCUGGAAUUAGAAGGGGAAACUCGCA